rnacentral:rRNA from 1 species
UAGGGAAUCUUCGGCAAUGGGGGGAACCCUGACCGAGCAACGCCGCGUGAGUGAAGAAGGUUUUCGGAUCGUAAAGCUCUGUUGUUAAGGAAGAACGAGUGUGAGAAUGGAAAGUUCAUACUGUGACGGUACUUAACCAGAAAGGGACGGCUAACUACGUGCCAGCAGCCGCGGUAAUACGUAGGUCCCGAGCGUUGUCCGGAUUUAUUGGGCGUAAAGCGAGCGCAGGCGGUUAGAUAAGUCUGAAGUUAAAGGCAGUGGCUCAACCAUUGUAGGCUUUGGAAACUGUUUAACUUGAGUGCAGAAGGGGAGAGUGAAAUUCCAUGUGUAGCGGUGAAAUGCGUAGAUAUAUGGAGGAACACCGGUGGCGAAAGCGGCUCUCUGGUCUGUAACUGACGCUGAGGCUCGAAAGCGUGGGGAGCGAAC